UACAGAGGUCUCAAGCGUUGUUCGGAUUCAUUGGGCGUAAAGGGUGCGUAGGUGGCGAGGUUAGUCAGGUGUGAAAUCUCGGGGCUCAACCCCGAAACUGCACUUGAUACUGCCUUGCUAGAGUACUGGAGAGGAGAUUGGAAUUUACGGUGUAGCAGUGAAAUGCGUAGAUAUCGUAAGGAAGACCUGUGGCGAAAGCGGCUUACUGGGUCUUUUCUGACGCUGAUGCACGAAAGCUAGGGGAGCAAACGGG
rnacentral:rRNA from 1 species